rnacentral:lncRNA from 1 species
AGAACUCUAAACUAGGCUAAACAAAGGCCUAAAUUGCAAAGUAAAGCAGCACAACAAGGAAAAAACCAAGCCAAGCAAGGCAAAAAUAGCAGACUCCUGACCAAAGGACUCACGUCCAAACCACAGCAGCUCCAACAUAACAGCACACUCUUAACAUCAUUGAGCCAAAAAUAAAUUCGGUUGAACGCGCCAUUCAUAAAGAAGCGGAUGAGAGUUAGAUUGGCUUAACCAUCACUUCCAAGAAGAUACAAUAAUUCCUUCUAACACAUCCGCCGAACUUAUUAUACCAUUCUCGAACACAACAGCGUUUCGGUGACGCCACAAG